UACGGAGGGCCCAAGCGUUGUUCGGAUUUAUUGGGCGUAAAGGGUGCGUAGGCGGCAUCGUAAGUCUGGUGUGAAAGGCGUGGGCUCAACCCGCGGACUGCAUUGGAUACUGCGAUGCUAGAGGACUGGAGAGGAGAAUGGAAUUCACGGUGGAGCAGUGAAAUGCGUAGAUAUCGUGAGGAACACCUGCGGCGAAGGCGGGUAGCUGGGCCGACACUGACGCUGAGGCGCGAAAGCCAGGGGAGCGAACGGG
rnacentral:rRNA from 1 species